UACGUAGGGUGCGAGCGUUGUCCGGAAUUAUUGGGCGUAAAGAGCUUGUAGGCGGUUUGUCGCGUCUGGUGUGAAAAUCCAGGGCUUAACCCUGGACCUGCAUCGGGUACGGGCAGACUAGAGUGCGGUAGGGGAGAUCGGAAUUCCUGGUGUAGCGGUGAAAUGCGCAGAUAUCAGGAGGAACACCGGUGGCGAAGGCGGGUCUCUGGGCCGAUACUGACGCUGAGGAGCGAAAGCGUGGGGAGCAAACAGG
rnacentral:rRNA from 1 species